UACGUAGGUGGCAAGCGUUGUCCGGAAUUAUUGGGCGUAAAGCGCGCGCAGGCGGUCCUUUAAGUCUGAUGUGAAAGCCCACGGCUCAACCGUGGAGGGUCAUUGGAAACUGGGGGACUUGAGUACAGAAGAGAAGAGUGGAAUUCCACGUGUAGCGGUGAAAUGCGUAGAGAUGUGGAGGAACACCAGUGGCGAAGGCGACUUUCUGGUCUGUAACUGACACUGAGGCGCGAAAGCGUGGGGAGCGAACAGG
rnacentral:rRNA from 1 species